CUAUUUUCACCUGACGGUAACACGUGAAAAUUUUCACUUGACAGCGCUGUGCAAUGAAGAAUGUUUAGAAAAAAGUAAAUAACUAAACAUGAUUACUUAAACAAUUUGGGUAUUUAUAAAUAGAGCUGAAAUGCAGGACAGUGCUUGGAAAGUGGAACGUCAGGUGCCCCACUUUCUGAACCGAAAGCAGCUACAUAAUUGAUACACAACACAAUUUGCUGACCUUUAUGUGCUGAACAUCCAAUCGGAGUGCUCUCCUUCACUAUUGACUGACAUCGAUUCUACAUGCUGAAUAGUACAACCUCCCAACAUGAGCCUGACGAGAGGUGACGUGUGGAACACACCAAACAAACAGAUGCUCACCGAAAGCUUGGAUGUUGGCUAAG
rnacentral:lncRNA from 1 species